rnacentral:misc_RNA from 1 species
AUCAAGGGGGUGAAGAAGCUUGGAAGGCAAAUGAAUGUUUUGCUUUUAUGGUCACAUUUUUGGGGCUCAUUAUUUUUCCCAAAAGGGACAAGCAUAUUGACAUUCGUCUGGCUGGUGUGGUGAAGGCAUUGACCACAAUGGAAAAUCCAACUAUUAUUCCAAUGAUCUUGGCAGAUAUGUUUCGCGCAUUAACCAAAUGUUUAAG